rnacentral:ncRNA from 1 species
UAAAGAAAAAGGCAAAUUCAUCGAAAGGUGAAGACGCAAAACUAAAGGGGCUAAGAUCUUUGGAUUAUGCCAGCCAGCUGCCAAU